GUGUGUGUGUGUGUGUGUGUAUCCCAUAAAAGAGUAACCCCUUCGGUCACGAAUGACCAUAGGAUUGCACCUACAAAAUUGCCCUCUGAGGCACAAACCCGGGCAAG